AAGAACAGCUGCUUGAUUCUCCACAACCUCCUUUAUCCUUUGUUGAAGAUAGGAUAGACCUUCAGUUGUUAAGCUCCGAAUGGUACCUCCAAAUUUCACUGUCUCUGGGAUUACAUUCCCAGCUUGGCCAGCCUCAACAAACCCCAGUGAGAGUACCCUGGCCUCAAGAGGAUCUGUCUCUCGAGAAAUUAAUUGUUGAAGUGCAAGGAUGGCAAAGGAUGCAGCAAGAACGGGAUCUCUUGUAUCUUGGGGCCGUGCAGCAUGUCCACCCUUCCCUUUAAUGACAGCGAAGAACCUAGCAGAACCAGCAGCCAUUGUACCAGGUCUAGAAGCAAUUGAACCAACAGGCAUUUCUGGUUCAACAUGGAGUCCAAAAAUGGCUUGGAACUUAUCAAGAGCUCCUUCUUUCAA
rnacentral:misc_RNA from 1 species